UUAUAAACUAUGAUGAGAAGAGUAUGUAAAGGAAGUAACUUUAGCGAGCCAGUGGUAGUGUAAGACUGGUGUGAUGCCUUUAUUGAAGAACAUCUCUGAGUUUCUAACCGAAAUCAAAAUUUUGAUAGUAGGCUUAGAGGUUUCCAAAACCUUAUUUUUGGUAUGUAUAGAUUUUUCUGUACAGAUAUGAGGCGGCCAAAUUUUUGGCAAAUUGGGUGGUACCGCGAAAAUCAGUCUUUCGUCCCUUUA
rnacentral:ncRNA from 1 species